rnacentral:rRNA from 1 species
GACGAACGCUGGCGGCGUGCCUAACACAUGCAAGUCGAGCGCAGGAAACUGACGGAACUCUUCGGAGGGAAGGCAGUGGAAUGAGCGGCGGACGGGUGAGUAACACGUAAGGAACCUGCCUCAAGGAUUGGGAUAACUCCGAGAAAUCGGAGCUAAUACCGGAUAGUUCAUCGGACCGCAUGGUCCGUUGAUGAAAGGCGCUUCGGCGUCACCUUGAGAUGGCCUUGCGGUGCAUUAGCUAGUUGGUGGGGUAACGGCCCACCAAGGCGACGAUGCAUAGCCGACCUGAGAGGGUGAUCGGCCACACUGGGACUGAGACACGGCCCAGACUCCUACGGGAGGCAGCAGUAGGGAAUCUUCCACAAUGGACGAAAGUCCGAUGGAGCAACGCCGCGUGAGUGAUGAAGGUUUUCGGAUCGUAAAACUCUGUUGUAAGGGAAGAACACGUACGAGAGGGAAUGCUCGUACCUUGACGGUACCUUACGAGAAAGCCACGGCUAACUACGUGCCAGCCGCCGCAGUAA